AAUGAACGCUGGCGGCGCGCCUAAUACAUGCAAGUCGAGCGAGAAGACGUAGCAAUACGUUUGUAAAGCGGCGAACGGGUGAGGAAUACAUGGGUAACCUACCCUCGAGUGGGGAAUAACUAGCCGAAAGGUUAGCUAAUACCGCGUACGCUUCUUGGACUUCGGUUCAGGGAGGAAAGCGAUGCCGAGGGUAUCGCGCUCUUGGAUGGGCUCAUGUCCUAUCAGCUUGUUGGGAGGUAACGGCUCACCAAGGCUUCGACGGGUAGCUGGUCUGAGAGGACGAUCAGCCACACUGGCACUGCGACACGGGCCAGACUCCUACGGGAGGCAGCAGUAAGGAAUAUUGCGCAAUGGGCGAAAGCCUGACGCAGCGACGCCGC
rnacentral:rRNA from 1 species